rnacentral:rRNA from 1 species
GACGAACGCUGGCGGCGUGCUUAACACAUGCAAGUCGAACGGAAAGGCCCUGCUUUUGUGGGGUGCUCGAGUGGCGAACGGGUGAGUAACACGUGAGUAACCUGCCCUUGACUUUGGGAUAACUUCAGGAAACUGGGGCUAAUACCGGAUAGGAGCUCCUGCUGCAUGGUGGGGGUUGGAAAGUUUCGGCGGUUGGGGAUGGACUCGCGGCUUAUCAGCUUGUUGGUGGGGUAGUGGCUUACCAAGGCUUUGACGGGUAGCCGGCCUGAGAGGGUGACCGGCCACAUGGGGACUGAGAUACGGCCCAGACUGCUACGGGAGGCAGCAGUGGGGAAUAUUGCACAAUGGGCGGAAGCCUGAUGCAGCAACGCCGCGGGCGGGAUGACGGCCUUCGGGUUGUAAACCGCUUUCGCCUGUGACGAAGCGUGAGUGACGGUAAUGGGUAAAGAAGCACCGGCUAACUACGUG